AAGAAGUGCAGUUUUACGCUAUUCAUGUGUAAUGUUUGACCAUCUGUCUUAUUUAUAAAAAUAUGAUUAGUAUUUUUGUUGUUAUUAGAUGAUAAAAUAUAAAUAGUACUUUACGUGUGUGACUAAUUUUUAUAAAUUUUUCAAAUAAAAUGGACGGUCAAACAUUGGAUAUGAAUAUUCACGAGUACGUUUAUU
rfam:Oryza meridionalis cultivar OR44 (W2112) chromosome 3, whole genome shotgun sequence.